CUUUGUGUUCCUUGUACCAUCUAGUUCUAGAGCAGUCGAUCCCUACCUAUAAACCCUACUGCUAAGGGUAUCCCUGAGCAGGCUUGGCGGUAAACACCAACACUCGGGUUUGAACGGCAGAGCUCAAACUAGAGAUGUUUGAGACAUAGCACCACACCACAAAACCUUUUGUGCUCAAAACUGGUUUUAGUUCUUUUUAUUAUAUAGUUUUUGCUCAAAACUGAUUUUAGAUCAUUUUAUAUUUUUAAGGGGACGAAGGGGUUCGAACCGCGACCUCAGGGAAGGGGAACGCACGCCUUACCACUAUACUACUCGGACCCUUUUGUUUUCUGUAGGAAGAUGAAGAUUUAUAAAAAUAAGGGAAGCUCGUUGUUAUACAAAGUUGAAUAUCCAAUCGACUGGAUCCGCAUCGAGUUUCCCUUCCUAACGGCGCCUCCACCCCCACCGUCCCAUCCUGUACCGCUCUCGCCCACCAGUACCAUGUCACCGGCCCCAGCUCGCCACUACCUCAUCCCGGACGGCCGGUGCUCGCCAUUGCCGGCAUCCCGCACAUCCCCACCAUUGCCGACUCGACCCGACCGCGGUAGCACAACAUCGACGGCAUCACAGUCUUGCGACCAUAACUCCGGCAGUGAGGCAAACCUUGUCCCCCACCUCGACAACGGCCACCAGUCAGCAAGAUGGAUCGAACUUGGGUGCAUAGCAAAUUGUUUUCCCCCGAGCACAUUGGUGGUGUGAAAGAAUUUAUGAGCUUCAUUCGUGAAAAAUUCAGUGAUAAAGGUUGAGAUUCUCUACCCAUGUGGUAGAUGCCUUAAUCAGAAGUAUCAAUGUCAGGCUGUAGUGAACAAGCACAUAUUGAUUAAUGGAAUGGACAAUAGUUAUAAUCGAUGGAUUCAUCAUGGAGAGAACUUGGAUGUAGAUGUUAUUAAUGAUCCUGUUGAUGUUCGUGACAUAGAUAUGAUAGAUGAUGACAACUAUGGUGUUGAUCCUUUAGAAGCGGUUUUGGGAGAUCUAAACACUGCAGAAGAACAAACAAGACAUGAUGGAGAAAAUCUGGAAGCUGAUGCCUGAUGAACAAGAUUCAUUUUUCAAAAUAGCCAUGAGAGAGGCAAAGCGUCAACUUUAUCCUGGUUGUACAAAAUUCUCAAGGUUCUCCUCUGUGGUAAAGAUGCUUCAUAUGAAGUCAUUAUAUAGAAUAAGCAAUUCUGCUUUUUCUGUAGUAACGAAGCUAUUGGCUGAAGCAUUCCCGGAAUGGAAUACACUCCCAAAAUCAUAUAAAGAAGCAAAGAGCCUUCUAAAGGAAUUAGGUCUUUGAUAUGAAUCAAUACAUGUGUGCUACAAUAAUUGUGCGCUAUUCAGAAAGAAAUAUGCCAAGCUUGACAAUUGCAUUGUUUGUGGUCUGUCAAGAUGAAUGGACCCAGAAAGGAAGAAGAUACCACAGAAAGUGUUGCGGCAUUUUCCACUAGCACCUAGGCUAAAAAGGAUGUUUGCAACCAAAGAAGCAUCAGAGGAAGCACAAUGGCACAAGUUAAAGAGGUAGCCUAGUGAGAAGGAAAUGUGCUACCCAGCUGACGGCGAGGCAUGGAAACAUUUCGAUGAAGUAUAUCCAGAUUUUGCAGAAGAUGCAAGAAAUCUUAGACUUGGACUUGCAACUGAUGGUUCAAUCCUUUUUCAGAACAGAACUCAAGAUACAGCAUGUGGCCUGUAUUUGUUGUGCCAUACAACCUUCCACCCUGGGCAUGCAUGCAGGAGUCAAACUUCAUGAUGGCUUUACUUAUUCCAGGAUCUAAAUCACCUGGGAAGGACUUUGAUAUAUUUUUAGAGCCUCUUAUAGAAGAUUUACUUGAUCUUUGGAAGGGUGUGCAAACUUUUGAUGCUAGUACUCACAAGACAUUUAGCCUUCAUGUUGCAGUUUUGUGGUGCAUCCAUGACUAUCCAGCUUUGAGUACUCUUUAAGGGCGUAGAACAAAAGGUUAUUUUGCAUGUACUCAUUGUGACAAGCACCCUCUUUCAUACAACCUAAGGAGCAAAAUUGGGUAUAUUAGGCAUUUUCGAUUCCUCCCAAAAGGUCUUCGUUUGCGAAGAAACAAUUAGUUUGCUGGACUUCAUCGAAGCAAUGAGCAACCAAGUCAAUUCACUAUAGAAGAGCUGCUUGCUGAACUGGAGACAUGUCAAAAGAACAAAGAUAACCGAGGCAAUGUUUUGUUACAUCAAACAACCGGCUCCCGUAGCUACCCGAUUUUUGCAGAAAAUUUUGUAUGUUAGCCAUGUCGCUGUGCCUUUCAUUUCGUAUCCAUACAUCUUCUAUAUAGAUUUCAAUUUCUUGGUCGUAACUAGAUAUUCAUUCUCUUCAACUGAACUUGUUGUUCUAUCAUGUUUUAGCAAAUGAUGUUCUAGUUCCAUAAGUUGCCAAGAUCAGUUUGUAAAACAAUAAAAUAUUACUUCUUGCUGCAACAGUAUAAAUGUCCAAUGUCCAUGGUGUUUCUUAAAUUUUGUCCUACUAUCAACUGUUCUGACCAAAUAAGUAACUUGCUCCAUAUAAAUAUUUUUUUCAGAUACAUCAGGAUGAGGAUAAAGAACACGAUGCAUUUGAAUUGUUCCAAAUGUGCCACUUCAGCAAGAAAAAGGGCUACACACAUGCUGUACAAUCAGUUAUUACUAAAAUGAAAACCCAACUGGCUGCACAACCAACAGAAGGUGAACAACCCAAGUCUGUGCUUCAGGUUGUAGCUAAUGUGCUUGAGCGCAACAACAAGAAGAGUGUGUUCCUUCAGAAUGUGGGGAUGCAGACUAAGCGACCAAGGUUGAGUGCACAACUGGAAGCGGAGAAGAGAGAAAAUGCUGAGCUUUGAUUGAUUGUCAACAACCAGCGCGAACAAAUGGAAGGCUUGAGCAAGAAGCAAGCUGAGUUGGAGGCUAAACUUGACCUUGCUCUGGGUCAAAAUCGACCAUGAUGAUAGGCAUGAUGGUGCUGUUAUGGAACUUUUGCUGCCUUUGCUUCUGGAAUCAAACUGCUACCUAUAUGUGCUACAGGUCCUGCUGGUGUGGAGGAACCUGAACGUACAAGCUGGUUGGUGCUCGGUGCUCAGACUUUUCUUGUUUUUGGGUUUGUGUCUGUAGCAGACCGUGGACAACGUGAAACCAAACCUUUUGUUGUUUGUGCUUAUUGAACCUCAACUAUAUUUGUGGAACUGUUGUUUGAUU